GACGAACGCUGGCGGCGUGCUUAACACAUGCAAGUCGAACGGCAAGGCCCUGCUUUUGUGGGGUGCCCGAGUGGCGAACGGGUGAGUAACACGUGAGUAACCUGCCCUUGACUUUGGGAUAACUUCAGGAAACUGGGGCUAAUACCGGAUAGGAGCUCCUGCUGCAUGGUGGGGGUUGGAAAGUUUCGGCGGUUGGGGAUGGACUCGCGGCUUAUCAGCUUGUUGGUGGGGUAGUGGCUUACCAAGGCUUUGACGGGUAGCCGACCUGAGAGGGUGACCGGCCACAUUGGGACUGAGGUACGGCCCAGACUCCUACGGGAGGCAGCAGUGGGGAAUAUUGCACAAUGGGCGGGAGCCUGAUGCAGCAACGCCGCGUGCGGGAUGACGGCCUUCGGGUUGUAAACCGCUUUCGCCUGUGACGAAGCGUGAGUGACGGUAAUGGGUAAAGAAGCACCGGCUAACUACGUG
rnacentral:rRNA from 1 species